rnacentral:rRNA from 1 species
UACGUAGGAGACUAGCGUUGUCCGGAAUUACUGGGCGUAAAGCGCACGUAGGCGGACUGUUAAGUCGGGGGUGAAAUCCUGGGGCUCAACCUCAGAAUUGCCUCCGAUACUGGCAGUCUCGAGUGCGGGAGAGGAAAGCGGAAUUCCUGGUGUAGAGGUGAAAUUCGUAGAUAUCAGGAGGAACACCUGUGGCGAAAGCGGCUUUCUGGCCCGACAUUGACGCUCAUGUACGAAAGCGUGGGGAGCAAACAGG